rnacentral:rRNA from 1 species
UACGGAGGAUCCGAGCGUUAUCCGGAUUUAUUGGGUUUAAAGGGUGCGUAGGCGGCCUAUUAAGUCAGGGGUGAAAGACGGUAGCUUAACUAUCGCAGUGCCCUUGAUACUGAAGAGCUUGAAUAUAGUUGAGGUAGGCGGAAUGUGACAAGUAGCGGUGAAAUGCAUAGAUAUGUCACAGAACACCAAUUGCGAAGGCAGCUUACUAAGCUAUGAUUGACGCUGAGGCACGAAAGCGUGGGGAUCAAACAGG